rnacentral:rRNA from 1 species
GAUGAACGCUGGCGGCGUGCCUAAUACAUGCAAGUCGAGCGAACAGACGAGGAGCUUGCUCCUCUGACGUUAGCGGUGGACGGGUGAGUAACACGUGGAUAACCUACCUAUAAGACUGGGAUAACUUCGGGAAACCGGAGCUAAUACCGGAGAAUAUAUUGAACCGCAUGGGUCAAUAGUGAAAUACGGCUUUGCUGUCACUUAUAGAUGGAUCCGCGCCGCAUUAGCUAGUUGGUAAGGUAACGGCUUACCACGGCAACGAUGCGUAGCCGACCUGAGAGGGUGGUCGGCCACACUGGAACUGAGACACGGUCCAGACUCCUACGGGAGGCAGCAGUAGGGAAUCUUCCGCAAUGGGCGAAAGCCUGACGGAGCAACGCCGCGUGAGUGAUGAAGGUCUUCGGAUCGUAAAACUCUGUUAUUAGGGAAGAACAAAUGUGUAAGUAACUAUGCACGUCUUGACGGUACCUAAUCAGAAAGCCACGGCUAACUACGUG